GCUUCAGUGGCCUAAUGGUUAGAGCAUUCACAUUGGAUGUGGAAGGUUGUGGGUUUGAUCCCCGGUUGAGUCA